rnacentral:tRNA from 1 species
UGCGGGGUAGCUCAGUAGAAGAGCGCCGGGCUCAUAAUCCGGGGGUCGAGGGUGCGACUCCCUCCCCCGCUACCA